UUGAUUACGGCUCCAUUACAG
ensembl:piRNA 21ur-2644 ncRNA